ensembl:lncRNA
AUUUAUCCGGUCAAGAGAACUGCCUCGAAGCGAACACCUGGUCACAAUUUCCAGAAGGAUGAAUGGGGAAGUUUGGGAAAGCUUUAUGCAAAACUCAUCUGUCACUUUCCUCUUUGUUCCACUUGCAGCGUUUUUACUACUGCGGCUUCUACGCGGCGGCGCCACCGGCGGUUUCUCUGCUGCAGUCCAAGAAAGCCCAGGGAUGCUGAUGGGAGGUAGGAAGCGUGAGUGAGUGUGUGAGUGUAUGUGUGUGUCUGUGAUGGGGAGCGAGGGGGAGAGGGAGGGUGCAUGAGCAAUAGGCAGACUGAGAUCAAUAGUGGCUUUGCAUCCUACGGACAAUAGUGAGCUUUUCCGUAUAAUAGUCCACGGUACGUAUCCGGCGAAGGUUCCGUGACGUGCUACAAUCACAAGCUGCUGGGUUUAGACGUAAGAUGAGAGUAAGGGAGGGCUGAAAUUUGGCUCCCGGGGAGAAGUUUGAAAAGAAGCUGCUGGUUAAAGCUGCAACUUCACUAAAA